rnacentral:lncRNA from 1 species
ACUGAACUAAAAUGCAGAGAAGAAUUGGCUUAAGUUUAUACAAAUAAAAACUAAAUUCUCUUCAGAGUAUUUCCGAAAAUUUAUAUGGCCUCCAUGGAUAUGAAGAGCAAAGGUGGAAAAAUAUGUUUUAAGAACACUAAUCUAUAUGGCGUUGAAAAAGAUAUACCUUCAUAAGUUCUUCUCAUAUUGUACUCAAUGGACCAAAAAAACCCUCGGUUAAUGGAACAUUGUUUGAC